CAAUUUGACGAAUACAACGUUAACAAUCCACGACCACGUCCAACUCGGAGCUCGGCCAGAAACCGACUGAGACGUCUGAGACAGAUGGAUGUAGUAGCUGUACAAAAUUGCAUUGACCUCUAAAAUUGGCAUCGCAAGCAUUGGCUACUACAGCUCAUGAUACAAAACCAUACCAGAUAAGGCAGAUGACUAUGGAAAAGGGAAAGGGCCCGGAAGAAACUUUGCACUCCCUGUAAAAUUUGCUUCGGAAUCCCGUCAAUUGGUCAAAACACAAGGACGGCUGCCAACACAUCUAUGAAAGAACGGACACAGGUAUGGUCAUUGCCAACGAGGCAGUCAUACUGUCUCUGUCUAUUUGACCUAAAAAUUCUUUCCUUUUUCUUUCUUUCGAUCCGCCCGGUUGUGCUUCGACUACUGCGUGAAUUCGUGAUGCUCAGUUUCACACGAAACGGCCUACUGAAGUUUUCCCAUCUACCUAGUUUCAUUGGACAUUGCUGCGUUGCGAAAUUGCUGGUUACAUUCCCAGCUUACUCCGUCGUCGAAUGACGAAUAGCAAAGUUUAAUAACAUGCAUGUGCACAUUUGUUUUCCUCUUUUACGACCAAGAGACGAAGAGUCAUAUAGGUCUUCUACAAUGUAGUAAGCAGUAAGAAGUGACCAAUCAAAAACUGAACAAUGGGAACUCUUCUUUCUGCUUACUGCUAUUGUAGACGGCUCUAUAGGCAGCGACUAGAGCUACACCUAUAUAAUAGGAAAGAUUAGAUACAGACCAAAUGAGAAAGAUUAGAUACUCAGCAAACUGUUUUUCGGAAAGCACGCUUUGGGAUAUGGUACUUUUGCAUAUUGUUCGCUUGUUUCGCAUAUGAUGUAUAACUUCGCGAAGAAUUCACUCAAUGUCUUCAAUAACAGAAAUUCCAGAAAUGAGAAACAAAAAAUUGAGUUUCUGGAUGGCAAAAUAUGCUAGCCGAUGAACGAAAUGCAAAUUAAACGAAAUAUAAAAAUAUGUCCCUCAAAGAAAUGUUAAAAAUUAUUUUACGCACGUUCGACGCGCAGUUACCAUUGGAUACUGAUAAGAACACUCGCACAAGCGAUGAUAAGAACGAUCAAAGUGCAGAGAGACUUCAAGAGCAUCUGAAGAACCGAUUAAAGUCCACGUUUCCACGCAGUGUUUGAGGAUACCCGUUAUGUUUCUUUUAUAUCACUAUCUUUUGUAUUUUGAGACUAUCACUCUGGCAAGUCACUUGUAUUGUCCGAGAAAAGAACGCACAACUAUCUUCUUGCUAUCUUCUUGCUUGAAAGCUCCGAUAGCACUUAUCGUUCAUCCGCAGUUUGUAUCGACAUUUGUGUUACACGAGAUUCACUGUUACUCGAAUAAUAUCAAUGCAUUUAGAAAAAAUAUUUUCAAUUGCAAUGAGUCAUAUAAUCGGUAAUAAUGAUGAAACAGUUUUCCCGUCAUUCGCGAUAAGAUAGACGCAAAUCAUCUUUUCUGUCUGAGGAAGGUGUUUGUGCAGCACUAUUAUAAUCUUGUACUACUAUAUCUAGCUUAUAUUACUGUAAUCAGCAUUUAUUACAAUUAUGCAACAUGUGAAAUUCUUUUAUGCAACUGAUUAUAAUACAAUAAAUACGCGCUAUUCCAUA